AGCUCCAAUAGCGUAUAUUAAAGUUGUUGCAGUUAAAAAGCUCGUAGUUGAACCUUGGGCCUGGUUGGCCGGUCUGCCUUUUUUGGCACGUACUGGAUUCAACCGGGCCUUUCCUUCUGGCUAACCUUCACAUCUGUGUUGGCAAACCAGGACUUUUACUUUGAAAAAAUUAGAGUGUUCAAAGCAGGCCUUUGCUCGAAUAUAUUAGCAUGGAAUAAUAGAAUAGGACGUUAUGGUUCUAUUUUGUUGGUUUCUAGGACCAUCGUAAUGAUUAAUAGGGACGGUCGGGGGCAUCAGUAUUCAGUUGUCAGAGGUGAAAUUCUUGGAUUUACUGAAGACUAACUACUGCGAAAGCAUUUGCCAAGGACGUUUUCAUCG
rnacentral:rRNA from 1 species